AUACGGAGGGGGCAAGCGUUGUUCGGAAUUACUGGGCGUAAAGGGCGCGCAGGCUGUUUCGGUAGUCAGGCGUGAAAUCCCCGGGCUCAACCCGGGAACUGCGUUUGAUACUGCGGAACUAGAGAUCGGGAGAGGGUAGUGGAAUUCCCAGUGUAGAGGUGAAAUUCGUAGAUAUUGGGAAGAACACCAGUGGCGAAGGCGGCUACCUGGACCGAUACUGACGCUGAGGCGCGAAAGCGUGGGGAGCAAACAGGAUUAGAAACCCCAGUAGUCC
rnacentral:rRNA from 1 species